AUUGAACGCUGGCGGCAGGCCUAACACAUGCAAGUCGAGCGGCGGCGGGAAAGUAGCUUGCUACUUUUGCCGGCGAGCGGCGGACGGGUGAGUAAUGCCUGGGGAUCUGCCCAGUCGAGGGGGAUAACUACUGGAAACGGUAGCUAAUACCGCAUACGCCCUACGGGGGAAAGCAGGGGACCUUCGGGCCUUGCGCGAUUGGAUGAACCCAGGUGGGAUUAGCUAGUUGGUGAGGUAAUGGCUCACCAAGGCGACGAUCCCUAGCUGGUCUGAGAGGAUGAUCAGCCACACUGGAACUGAGAGACGGUCCAGACUCCUACGGGAGGCAGCAGUGGGGAAUAUUGCACAAUGGGGGAAACCCUGAUGCAGCCAUGCCGCGUGUGUGAAGAAGGCCUUCGGGUUGUAAAGCACUUUCAGCGAGGAGGAAAGGUUGGUAGCUAAUAACUGCCAGCUGUGACGUUACUCGCAGAAGAAGCACCGGCUAACUCCGUGCCAGCAGCCGCCGUAAUAC
rnacentral:rRNA from 1 species